rnacentral:lncRNA from 1 species
UAAAACUGACCUGACAAGACAGGUAGAUAGGUAUGAAGUUGUUAUUUCAGACAGAUUUUUAAAACUCUUUCAUCUUCAUUCCCUUUGUUUUUAUGUUGAACCGUAUGGUGUCUUACAGCUUUACUGUUAUCUUAACCAACCAAUACUUUUUUUGCUUUUAUAUUUCCCUCAUUCACCUACCUUGUGGUGAAGAGAAACGUGUUGAAUCUUCUAGGUUUCUUUUAAGUUUUUCAUCGCAAUACAAACAUCCUAUUUCAUUAAAUAUCUAAGCAAUUCUGAAUUAAGUGGAUACCCUUCAUGUUAUUCCAUUUAUUUAUCACAGUAUUAGGCUUUUUUUUUUCAUUUAGACAGAGUCUCACUCUGUCGCCCAGGCUGGAGUGCAGUGGGGCGAUCUUGGCUCACUGUAACUUCUGCCUCCCAGGUUCAAGUGAUUCUCCUGCCUCAGCCUCCCGA